rnacentral:tRNA from 1 species
UUUCGGUGGGGAGCGCUUUUGUAUUUCCGGUUGCUUUCCGGGCGGGGUGAUCAUCGCGGCGACACGGCAUCCGCGCGGUGCGGAUUCCGAUGC